GAACAUGACUCGUGGAAUA
rnacentral:snRNA from 1 species